GCGGGCUCCCGGAGGCUGGCGCUGGGCAGCCUGGCGCUGAGCAGCCGGCGGCGGGAGGAGCCCCCGGACAGGCUGCCGCGGGCCGGGGAGCCCGAGUCCCGGGAGUGCUGGCGGGUCAGGGCCUCGGGGAACUCGGCCAGGGCCAACAACCUAGUUCCCGAGCCCGACCCGCUUAGCUCCGAGGCCUCAGCGCACCACUGACUUCUCUGGGCACUGUGGUCUGGUGGGAAGUCUCCAGCUUGGGAGACGGGAAACCUGGGUUUGAGGCUGCUGACCCAUCAUGUGCCUUCAGGCUAUUUUCUUGCCCUCUCUGAGCCUCUGCUUCAAUAAAGUAAGGAAGACUGGC